rnacentral:rRNA from 1 species
UGGGGAAUAUUGCACAAUGGGCGAAAGCGUGACGCAGCAACGCCGCGUGGGGGAAGACGGCCUUCGGGUUGUAAACCCCUUUCAGGAGGGACGAAGGUUCACCGGUGAAUAGCCGUGUGGAUUGACGGUACCUCCACAAGAAGCACCGGCUAACUACGUGCCAGCAGCCGCGGUAAUACGUAGGGUGCAAGCGUUGUCCGGAAUCAUUGGGCGUAAAGCGCGCGUAGGUGGCUUUGUAAGUCCGUUGUGAAAGUCAAAGGCUCAACCUUUGAAUGCCGAUGGAUACUGCAGAGCUAGAGUACGGAAGAGGCGAGUGGAAUUCCUGGUGUAGCGGUGGAAUGCGCAGAUAUCAGGAGGAACACCAAUAGCGAAGGCAGCUCGCUGGGACGUUACUGACACUAAGGCGCGAAAGCGUGGGGAGCGAACAG